rnacentral:lncRNA from 1 species
GGAAGUGAGUCAGUAGGUACCUCGGCCAAAGAAGGAGGAACAACGACACGAUGACGACGAUGAUAAACCUGAAGUGGGCGAGAAGGCACUGCAUCAGGUGGGGAGAUAAUGGGAAGGGGUAAGACUUCAGAAACAGGAAGAAACUCAGAGGUGGAGAAGAAUGGUGAGUCCUCAAAGAAAGUGACAUCAGCGGAGAGAAAGUAGCGAUGAGUCUCAGAGGAAUAACAACGAUAACC